GUGCUUUUCCAUUUCUUACACUGAUGAACGGAAACGGUCAGGAAGUUGCAGGGAAACACUCACGCGGAAUGAUUGAUCGACAGUUGACCGUCGCCGGAGGGAGAAACAGAAUACGCAAACGCCAUGUCAACCUUCGCCGGAACGCCUCCUCCUCCGUUCGAUGACGGCUCCAGCGGAUUCGAACGUCGCCUUUUGUCUCAAUGAUUCGAAUCCUUUUGUACCUUCGAAGACGAGUCUGCCGUCGCCGACUCGUCGCCGAUCUUCGUCAACCAGCCGUUAACCAGGGAGACGACCUGCUGCCGACUUCGCCUUCGAAUUUCUCGGCCGAUGGGGGAAUCUCUAGUUUCUCACCGGAGCAGAACGGGAAGAGCUUUGAUGGAGAUUUUGGCGAAUCGGACGGCCCGAUCCUUUAAUCCCGAUGGCGGUGGAGCCGGAGGAAGAAUUUCCUUUGAGAGAGCAAUAUCUAGCAAACCGAGACAAGUUCCAUGCUGAAGCUGAGAAGAAGUAUUGGAAGACAAUUGCAGAACUAAUCCCCAAUGAGGUUCCAACCAUUGAACAAAGGGGGUAAGCAAGACAAGGAGAAGAUGCCUGCUACUGUUGUUCUUCAGGUUCUGAAGCCCAGGAAGCCAACCGAUCUCUCGAGAACGCGUCAAGUACAAUACUACUGUUGUUCUUCAUAAAGCCAAGGAGAAGA